rnacentral:SRP_RNA from 1 species
GCCAGGCAUGGUGGUGCAUGCCUGUAGUCCCAGCCACUCAGGAGGCUGAGGUGGGAGGAUCGCUUGAGCCCAGGAGGUUGAGGCUGUAGUGAGCUAUGAUGGCACCAUAGCAUUCUAGCCUGAGUGACAGAGCAAGACCCUGUCUCUU